rnacentral:rRNA from 1 species
UACGUAGGGUCCGAGCGUUGUCCGGAAUUAUUGGGCGUAAAGGGCUCGUAGGCGGUUUGUCGCGUCGGGAGUGAAAACACCGGGCUUAACUCGGUGCUUGCUUUCGAUACGGGCAGACUGGAGGUAUGCAGGGGAGAACGGAAUUCCUGGUGUAGCGGUGAAAUGCGCAGAUAUCAGGAAGAACACCGGUGGCGAAGGCGGCUCUCUGGGCCUUACCUGACGCUGAGGAGCGAAAGCGUGGGUAGCGAACAGG